GGGACACCCCACGGCGAUCGCUCCGCCCUUAUGACCUCUGAAUUAGGUUCCUGUAACCAAGAGUACACAUUCCUGGAAAACAGGCAAACACAGCUCUACAGAGCCCCUAGCAUAGCCUGGGAAACAGCGACAUGGUGGCUAAGAGCUUGGGCUCUAGAGUCUGAAUCUCUCAGAAUCUCAGUUUUUCUACUGGAAAAACAGGGCUAGUGAGAAUACCCUACAUCACAAGGAUGCUGUGGUGAUCAAGCAAGAACAUACAGAGAACAUGCUUUGCACAGAGCCAAGCAUACGGAUGUACUCAACAAAUGUCAACUUGAACUGCGGGUCAAGACAUGAGAAACCCAAAUAUUCAGACUUUCUGUGAAAAUACUCUUUGUCUCAUCAAUCUAAAACCACAGAGGGAGGAAUGGAAGGAAAAAGGGAAAUCAAACAAUCAAAAAAUCUGAUUUUCUAACAAGAUCAACUUGGGAUUGCUAGUGGUGCUAUGGAGUUAGCUUUGAUGUAACGCAAGACUCCCCACAUGGAGGUUCCAGCUCACCAGCCCCAGGGAAGGAGAGAAGUCAGAGUUGCUCUCCCAAGGGGGAACGUUUCUGAACAGGAGCAAGGGCAUUUAAAAUGGCAUACAGAAUUUAUAAAGCAAAAGAACCCUGAUGCUAGAAAUGAACUAUCACAACUAAUAGGAACUUAAGUUUAUUCUCCUUUAAAGGUAAAAGUAAGUCUGGUUGACUUAUUAGAACCAGACUGGGCAAACCCUAAUAAAGGAAUGGAUGCAAGCAAUGAUGGUGACUUCAGC
rnacentral:lncRNA from 1 species